rnacentral:rRNA from 1 species
GGAUCAAUAUAUCGGUCGUGCCUUGGUACGUACUGGUAUCAUUGGUUUCUCCUUUCUGACGAACCAUGAUGUCAUUAAUUUGGUGUUAUGGGAAGUUAGGACUGUUACUUUGAAAAAAUUAGAGUGUUUAAAGCAGGCUUUAGCUUGAAUACAUUAGCAUGGAAUAAUGAAAUAGGACGUUCGAUCCUAUUUUGUUGGUUUCUAGGAUUGACGUA